UUUAUGGUUUUCGACCUAUAAACCUUUCCCAAGGCUCUCCACUCCACUUGAGCCGUUGGGAGUGAGUUUAAUUGGACCAAAGUAGACUCUUUGCUAGGCUCCUUAUCAAGAAAUGGUUUUCAUAUUAUCUUAGUCAUUAGAGUAUUAUAUUUGAUAUUUUUGCUGGAGGAAUCUUCUCUUAAAGCAGUCGUGAAAGUUUGGGGCAACUUCUGUUGAGAAAGUGGUAUAACAUUUGGCAAAGAGAUUAUUGGCCAUCAGGACUGCACCAGUAAAUAGCUGUUGACACCUUAACGCGUGCUCCAUCGAUUGGGUCAGUCACAAGAUUACCAGAUGAUGGGAAAUAUUUUUCAUCGUUGCGAUGAUUUCAAUUAAUUUAGCUCUCACAUGUUCGCUUAACGACCUCUAGCAGAGAUCUGAUAAAUAAUGACUUCUUUCCUGUGCGCUUAACACGGAACAACAUGCUGAAUUUUUACGAGAAAAAAAUUCAUUUCGAACUGAGCCUCGCGAGCUUGGGAGAAAUAAUUUACGAAANUUUACCUCCGUUGGACGUCGUUUGACAAGAGAAAGCAAUCUCUAAUAAAUCUAGAACUAUAUUUCAGGUUGUAGAUAAUAUAAAGAUGAUAAGAACAACAUUUUGGUAAUCGUCUUGUUUAGAUAAUAUAACUUAGCUCGUUUCUCUCUCCCGCAUCGAUGCCUCUCGCCAAUAGUAAUUAAAUUUCUUAUUACACUUAAACGAAAGGAUAAUAUAAAAGAAAACAUCUUCUAAAUAGGAUUAGAAUGUAACAAAGACGAUGCGAAGAUCUUAUAUACUAGUUUGUCCAUCUGUUUUACGCAUUUGUCGAUCAGUUAUAUCGACUGACAGCCCAGGUUCAAUGGGUCAAGAGCUUGUGAAGUUUUUCGGUGAUUGGAUUUAGUUUCUCGCCCGAGGCGAAGUCAAAAAAUAGCAGUUUAGUUCUACUGAUGUAACAAGUCGUAUGAGAUCGCACAAGCAGUUGACCUUACUUGAUAUCNCUAACUUUAAUCGAAAAAUCUGAUUUUGAAAUCUGUUUUGACGUUAUUAAUGAGAGGUAAGCUAAAUAGCUUUUCGUAUCCGGGGCUGAAUAGCGUGUUUAAUAUUAAAGCCNGACACAGCCCCUGUCUUUGUAAAAUGGAGCUUUUUCAAAAUAUAUGAAUAUGCUCGCCCUAAGAUCCUCGUUUUCAGCGACAAUGACGAGCAGCGUGCAUGUGAUCGGACUUCCCGGGCUUGCUCUUCUCGUUGACCGUCAAAUGAAGUGAAAAUUUGUUCACAAACUGUCAAAAUCAACAGCUCAGCAGUAGAUUAGCCUGGACUUUAACGCCAAUUUUUCUAUAAAACAUGUUUAUUUAACACUUUCAGUGCUAGUUGUGGACGUGGUUGGUGGCCUCUAACAGAACACUUAGAAGUGAGCGAGCGUUUGGAAAUUCGAUUGGCGGGCUGUCUGACACCCUUACUAUUCGAUUUUUUUUGUUAAGAAGAACGGUAAUCGAGAUAUCCACUUUAUAGAUGCGUGAAACCUUCUCCUCAAAAAAAAAAAAAAAAAAAAAAAAAA
rnacentral:lncRNA from 1 species